UGGGGAAUAUUGCACAAUGGGCGCAAGCCUGAUGCAGCCAUGCCGCGUGUAUGAAGAAGGCCUUCGGGUUGUAAAGUACUUUCAGUCGGGAGGAAGGUGGUAAGGUUAAUAACCUUAUCAAUUGACGUUACCGACAGAAGAAGCACCGGCUAACUCCGUGCCAGCAGCCGCGGUAAUACGGAGGGUGCAAGCGUUAAUCGGAAUUACUGGGCGUAAAGCGCACGCAGGCGGUUUGUUAAGUCAGAUGUGAAAUCCCCGGGCUCAACCUGGGAACUGCAUCUGAUACUGGCAAGCUUGAGUCUCGUAGAGGGGGGUAGAAUUCCAGGUGUAGCGGUGAAAUGCGUAGAGAUGUGGAGGAAUACCGGUGGCGAAGGCGGCCCCCUGGACAAAGACUGACGCUCAGGUGCGAAAGCGUGGGGAGCAAACAGG
rnacentral:rRNA from 1 species